rnacentral:lncRNA from 1 species
GAGAGACAACAGAUUUACAUCCCAGACACAUUCACUCCGCUGAGAGCAGCUGCCCUUGCAGAAUCUAGUCAGGUACUUUUUUCCCUCUCCUUCUCCUUUUCCGAGUCAGAACAGAGCUGGGGAGGCGAGGGGGGUGG